UACGGAGGAUCCAAGCGUUAUCCGGAUUCAUUGGGCUUAAAGGGUGCGUAGGCGGCAUGAUAAGUCAGUGGUGAAAGCCUGCAGCUUAACUGCAGAACUGCCAUUGAUACUGUCAAUCUUGAGUACAUUUGAUGUGGGCGGAAUGUGUCAUGUAGCGGUGAAAUGCUUAGAUAUGACACAGAACACCGAUUGCGAAGGCAGCUCACAAAACUGUAACUGACGCUGAGGCACGAAAGCGUGGGUAUCAAACAGG
rnacentral:rRNA from 1 species